GAACGCCCGUAGCAAUACGGGAGUGGCAGACGGGAGAGUAACACGUGGGAACGUGCCCUUCAGUUCGGAACAACCCAGGGAAACUUGGGCUAAUACCGGAUACGUCCGUAAGGAGAAAGAUUUAUCGCUGAAGGAUCGGCCCGCGUCUGAUUAGCUUGUUGGUGAGGUAACGGCUCACCAAGGCGACGAUCAGUAGCUGGUCUGAGAGGAUGAUCAGCCUCACUGGGACUGAGACACGGCCCAGACUCCUACGGGAGGCAGCAGUGGGGAAUAUUGGACAAUGGGCGCAAGCCUGAUCCAGCCAUGCCGCGUGGGUGAUGAAGGCCUUAGGGUUGUAAAGCCCUUUCGGCGGGGAAGAUAAUGACGGUACCCGCAGAAGAAGCCCCGGCUAACUUCGUG
rnacentral:rRNA from 1 species